CUAGACACACCCUUGUAAUUUUGACUAUGAUAUUAAAAAUUUAUCUUAUUAGUCUUUUUUUAGGUAAGAAUUGGAUAUUUACUGUAACAUCCCACAUCGUCCAGGAGAGUGAUCUUUAAAUGUAUAUUCUCAUCCCUACCUAGCACGAGACCUUUUGGGAGCUUACUAGCUUCGGGUUCCGUAGGAACUCCGAAGUUAAGCGAAAAUGAGGCUAGAGCACUCCCAAGAUGGGUGACCCACUAGGAAGUUGCUUGUGAGUUUCCAAAAACAAAACCGUGAGGGAAUGGUAAGCUCAAAGCAGACAAUAUCGUGCUACAGUGGUGGAACGGACCCGAAAUGUGGUGGACCUGGGCCGAGAUGUGACAUUUACAGAGAUUUUUAAAAUGUACUUGAAAUGUCACCACAAAUGAUGUAUCAUUAAUAAUAAAUAACUAAAUUAAAUGAUGUGUCAUUAAUAAGAACUAAGCACAUUAGUCAAUAAUUAAGUAAUAACCUAAUUACCAACUUUCAUGUCAUUUACUUUAACAAAUUUAGCUUAAACAAUUAGUCUCUUUAGCAUUACCCUUCACCAAUAUGAUUGAAAUUUAUUUGUAGUUCUACUUGGAAUUGGGUUUUUUUUUUCAAUAAACAUUUAAUAUGCUCUCUUUCUAAGAUUGCAUAUCCAUUUCCAAUUAAAUAAUUUAGCUUUUAGGAUAGGAUGGGUUUUUCAUAAGCUAAAAAAUUAUUGCCUAGAAGAAUUGACAAAGAAGAAAAUGAAGAAAAGUAAAGGAGAAUAUACUUAUUGUGGAGAAAUUUAUACACCAGGUUUUAGUGAUUACCUAGAGAAAAAGAAGAAACAUAGAAAGAAAUACAUUUUUUUUGUCAAACGAUAGAUUUUGUUAGAUUAAAUGUUAGAUUAGCCACUGACGAGGUUCGAACCCAUGCCGUCAUGCUAGGGCUCAACAUAUUUUCAUCACUAUGGUAAAGAUAGAAAGAAAUACUUUAAAUAUAAGAAACAUGGCUUCACCAUGUUCAAUGAUGAAUCAAUUUUUGGUUAUACCAAAAAAAAAAAAAAUCAGUUUUUGUGUAUUUGGUGAUAUUGUAGGAAUUUGAAGCAAAAUUAAUUUCAGUUACUCUCUUCGUAAGAUUGCAUACCCACAGAUGGUGCUUUACCGCAUUGAUAAAAAACAAUUAUAUUCAGAAACCUUGUUGCAGGUUUGAUCCUUACCAAUCUCUCUCCCUCCUAACAAUUGAUCAUUUAACCCACUAACGUUACUCUUGUUCACCUUUAUACAUUCUUUGUCUUUCUAGUUAUUUGACUGAACAAUGUAAAAUGAAAAUAAAAAUAAUUCUAUAAAGUGAAUAUUUUCUUUUCUCACAAAGUACUCCUCUUUAUAUACAUGGCAUGCACGCUAAAAAAGUGCAUGGUGAUGAAAUUUUGAUGAAAUUUUCACUACCUACUAGGGGUGGAAUUUUUUCCCGAAAAUCCCGAACCGUCCCGAUCCCGUCCCGAAAUUAGACCGAAAAAUUCCCGAACCGAAUUUCCCGAAACAUUCGGUACCUGAAACCGAUCCUGACCCGAAAGUUUCGGUUUGGGAUUCGGCCACAACUUUGAAAGCUUUCGGGAAUCCCGAACCGAACCGAAUAAUAUAUAUAUAUAUUUAUUUAUUUUUAAUUUUUAAUUAGACAUUACUUGAACCGUUGGAUUUGUUAAAAUCUAAUCCAACCGUCUAUAGUUAGGUCAUUUGUUUGUUAGGUUAUUAGACUCUCUCAGUCGCUCUUGCUCUCUCACCUCACUGGCUCACUCACUCUCACAGUCCCCCCGCUCCACUCCUCCGUCGAAUCCACGCCGCUCCUCAUCGUCCAUCACUCCAUUGACCCACGCCGCUCCACUCCUCCGUCGAAUCCAUGCUGGUCCUCGUCGUCCAUUGACUCACGCCGCUUCUCCAUCGACUCACGCCGCUUCUCCAUCGACUGACGCUUCUCCAUCGACUCACACUCACACACUCGAAUCCGACACCAAUCGAGUCCCAAAAUCCAGGUUAGGGUUCCUAAUUUUCGAUUAACUUGAUUUCUGAGUGAGUAUUUUGUCGAAUGUGUGAGGGUUUCGAAUUAGGGAACUUUUCAUGUGUAUUUGAUCCUCUUCCUUCAACAGAGGACCCCAAAUCAGUAGGAAACCCCAUUUUAUGUGUUUCUGUAGGAGAUGAUUCAGGUAGCAAGCUAACUAAGAUUAGUAGUUAGUAGGCCCAGAAGCUUUCCCAAUUGCAUGCAACGCUUCAUCUCUGUGCCUCGAGAGAUUUCUUCACUGAUUAGCACACAAUUCUCACAGAGAGAGAGUGUGAGUGUGUAAGAGAGAGAGAGAGAAUGAGAGAGAAUCAAUUUCGAGCAGUCCUAAUCAUCUUCUUGUUUUUCUUUGUCUUCAGAAUCUGUGAUGCACUAUACGGACCAUCAUCGCCAGUUCUUCAAGGCCCAAUCCCGAAGUUACCUGAAAAUCUCGAAACACUUUCGGGAAUCCCGAAUUUCGGGAAAUGCACAUAUUCGGUUCGGUUUCGGGAUAUAAAAUCCCAUCCCGAAAUGUUUUGGUUUGGGAUUCGGGAAAGGAGUUUGGUUCGGGAUCCCGACCCGAACCACCCCUACUACCUACUACCAGCCGUGCACAGUGCACACACACAAAAAUCCUCAAAAAAAUCUUAUUUUUCUCAUAUCUUGACUUUAACUAACUUAAAUAAAUAAUUCCCAGGCACUCACUUUCUUAUCAUAUCACAUGUCAUUCUUGUGAUGCCACCCAACUAAUCUGGAUUGUUCCGUGAUUUGCAACGUCAAUAAUCAACUAGCUUAAUGAUUCAUUAUAAUAAUAAUAAUCAGUUAGAUGGCGAUGAAUUGCUAAUCCUAAUCGGAUAAAUAGUUGUUGAUAAGGUAAUUGAAAGAUAGUCAUCAUAUUUUAAAAAAAAAAAAUUAAAAUUAAACUCUCGUAGGCUCAUAGUAUAAUCUUUUAACAAAUUUAGUCCAUAAAUAAUUUUAAGGGAACUUUAACGAAAA
rnacentral:lncRNA from 1 species